GUAAAGCAAUUUCUGUCGAGACGAAAGGAAACGAGUUAAAAGCACCUUGCAGUCACCUUACCGACAGAACAAGCACCGGCUAACUCCGUGCAAGCAGCCGCGGUAAUACGGAGGGUGCGAGCGUUAAUCGGAAUUACUGGGCGUAAAGCGCGUGUAGGUGGCUUGUUAAGCCAGAUGUGAAAGCCCCGGGAUCUACCUGGGAACUGCAUUUGGAUAUGGGAGGAUUGAGAUUUGUAGAGGUUGGUAGAAUUUCAGGUGUAGCGGUGCAAUG
rnacentral:rRNA from 1 species